UCGGUCUUGCCAGAAGAGAACUGAGGUCUUUCUUCCUGGCCUCCUAAGAGGGCGCCAUCCACCACGGUGAUCAGAUCUCCAAGAUUAAUGCAGUGUGUCAACGGGACUUUCAAGGCACUUUUUGAAGAGAUGAGGUAGAGGGAAAAGAGAAAGAAGUAAGAGAGAUGGUAGAAGGCCACAAACUAGGAGGUCUGUUGAAGGGAGCUACGGAGAGGGCUGGGUCAGAGACGCGGCUGGAGGAGGGUGCCCUCAGCAGAAGAGGAAUUCAAAAGAUUGUCUUCUGCUCUAGAGUGCCCCUCUGCCAUGCCACCCUGCCUUAGACCUCGUCAAUUACGGACUGAAACCUCUACAAACCCU